rnacentral:rRNA from 1 species
UACAGAGGUCUCAAGCGUUGUUCGGAUUCAUUGGGCGUAAAGGGUGCGUAGGUGGCGAGGCAAGUCAGAUGUGAAAUCCCGGGGCUCAACCCCGGAACUGCAUUUGAAACUGCCUUGCUCGAGUACUGGAGAGGAGACUGGAAUUUACGGUGUAGCAGUGAAAUGCGUAGAUAUCGGAAGGAAGACCAGUGGCGAAGGCGAGUCUCUGGACAGUUACUGACACUGAGGCACGAAGGCCAGGGGAGCAAACGGG